rnacentral:lncRNA from 1 species
UUCUCUACAUUUGUGAAGAACUUCAAAAGUCGAAACCAAAAGGGAAUGCAUGGUCAUUGUUAAGUGCUAGUAUAUAAAGCUUUAUUCAAGAUUGAGAUCACAUAGGAAUUCGGACCUUGACUAUCAAUUUAAACUAAUGUUGUGUUAUUGUUUACGUUAGUUGAACAAUGUGCUUCCUUUUCAUGUAUUGUACGACAAUUUAAUU